rnacentral:tRNA from 1 species
AGCCCCGGAGCCUUUUAAGGGCUCUUCUUCAAUUUUGCAUAUUGACGUGGAUUACCUCAGGACU